rnacentral:antisense_RNA from 1 species
CUUCAUGGUAGCUGUGCGCAGGGCGCUUUCGGGCGCGCCGGUUUCGUGUCUCCCCGGUCGACUAACCUGCGUACAGCUGCCACCCCC